rnacentral:rRNA from 1 species
GAUGAACGCUAGCGGCAGGCUUAAUACAUGCAAGUCAAGGGGCCAGCAAUGGCACCGGCGGACGGGUGAGUAACGCGUACACAACGUACCUUUAACUGGGGGAUAGCAUCUGGAAACGGGUGGUAAUACCGCAUGUGGUUGCGGGGAGGCAUCUCCUUGUAACUAAAACUUUGGUGGUUAGAGAUCGGUGUGCGUCUGAUUAGCUAGUUGGUAGGGUAGAGGCCUACCAAGGCGACGAUCAGUAGGGGGCGUGAGAGCGUGAACCCCCACACGGGUACUGAGACACGGACCCGACUCCUACGGGAGGCAGCAGUAAGGAAUAUUGGUCAGUGGAGGGAACUCUGAACCAGCCAUGCCGCGUGAAGGAAGAAGGCGCUACGCGUUGUAAACUUCUUUUGGGUGGGACGAAAAUAAUCCAUUUAUGGAUAGCUGACGGUACCAUCAGAAUAAGCACCGGCUAACUCCGUGCCAGCAGCCGCGGUAAU